AGGGAGAGAGAGCAGUGAAACGCCUUGCCCCGCCCACCAUGUUUUGCUCUUGGUUCGCGCUGUAUGAACUCUGCGGGGUGCCUCCUCUCUUCCGCUCGCUCGCUCCUCUUUCCCGAGUAGCAGUCGCGCAUUUUGCUUUUCUACAGUAUUUGUGAGUUUCUUGUUCGGACAUGGGGGGGCCAGCGCUCACUAGGAGAGGGGUAGGAGAGAGAGGGACCGGGCAGCGGACACGUUGUCUACGCAUUUCUCUCCAUUGUGCGCACUCGAAAAUCACGCGAUCCCUCUCUCUCUGUUUUCCCUUGGGUGAGUUUUUUUUUUUCUGGACACUUGUACGACAGCAGGUGCGAGCAUAAAAAAAACUCUAUGAAACACAGCCACGGAUGUACAAGUGGACACACAUGGUGCCACGAAGCACGCGACCAUCGGUAUGCGUGUGUGCGUGCUGAGCUCAUUCUCGAGGAAGACUUUGCACCACGGCAAAGAUGGUCUGCGCCAACGAUGGAUAUCUGUACCUCACACCAUUCCGUCGUGCACUUCGGUGGUGAAGGGGGCGUGGGUCGACUUGAUGCUACUGCUUUCUUGUGGUUUCCUGCCUGUUUCUGCCGCAGUGCGCAGCAAUCUUCCCCUCUCCCCCUCGGUCUCCUCCGCUGCGGUAUGCGUCUGUCUUUUUCGGUGUGCGCGCGCGAUUCGCAG
rnacentral:misc_RNA from 1 species